AAAUGGUUAACAAAGGUUAAGAAUUUCUUAAUUAACAUGAAUGACUUGAAAUGCAUGUGGAAUUAGUUGGUUGUUGUGAUUAUUCUGAGCUGUGAUUGAAUUUAGAUGCUGUUGUGAAAUUUGGAAUAAGUUUGUUGAUGUUUUAGUGCUUCAAUUGGAUUAUUGAAUUCAGGUUAAGGCUGCGAAUGUCUUUGGGCUUUGUUGUGAGUGUUUGAAGUUGUAAUUGAUAUUGUUUUCUCUGAUGUGGAUGGAAUUGAGUUGAAUUAUAACUGUAGUUGGUGAUUGA